rnacentral:rRNA from 1 species
AACGAACGCUGGCGGCAGGCCUAACACAUGCAAGUCGAGCGAAGCCUUCGGGCUUAGCGGCGGACGGGUGAGUAACGCGUGGGAACGUGCCCUUUGGUACGGAAUAGCCCCGGGAAACUGGGAGUAAUACCGUCCGUGGUCGAGAGCCGAAUGAUUUAUCGCCAAAGGAUCGGCCCGCGUUGGAUUAGGUAGUUGGUGGGGUAAUGGCCUCCCAAGCCGACGAUCCAUAGCUGGUUUGAGAGGAUGAUCAGCCACACUGGGACUGAGACACGGCCCAGACUCCUACGGGAGGCAGCAGUGGGGAAUCUUAGACAAUGGGGGAAACCCUGAUCUAGCCAUGCCGCGUGAUCGAUGAAGGCCUUAGGGUUGUAAAGAUCUUUCAGUGGGGAAGAUAAUGACUGUACCCACAGAAGAAGCCCCGGCUAACUCCGUGCCAGCCGCCGCUGUAACAC